UUUUCAAAACAGGCUAAAUUUUCAGUCUCUUCGAGUGAGAUUUUACUCCACGAGAUUUAGAGAGUAUGUAACACGUACAUUUU